AAAAAUUAACUAGGUAGUAUAAUUUUUAAAAACCACUAUAAAAUGGCGGCAUUUUAUCUUAUUAGAGGAACAUGUUGUAUAAUAGAUAUUACACAAUAAGUUUUACUUAAUUUAAAAUCCUGUAUACCUCCGUUUUGAAUAUAUAAAAAAUAUUUUCCAAAUAAUAAUCUAGAAAAAUAGGUAAAGGUGCAGACUAUAAAUAAGAAACAAUGUGUUACAUUAAAUUAUAUUUAUAGAAAUCUACUUAAAAUUUUUUGAAAAAAGGAUUUAAAAGUAAAUUUUAAAUAAUAUUUACAAUUGAAUAAGAAUAUAAAUGUGC
rnacentral:rRNA from 1 species